rnacentral:lncRNA from 1 species
AGGAAGUUAUAAACCAAUGUUAUCGUGAUAGAGAACACGAGCCUCCGAUACGAAUUUGGAAAUUCAUUCCUAUCAUUGUGAUAAGUCAUGCCACACUAAAAUACUCGAAAUGGGGCAAAAGCUUAAUUUAUUUAAACCUAUUUCAAGAUAAACGUGAACGUAGAUUUCGAGUGCGCGGGUCGAGGAAAGAUGAAAAGUGAAAACUCUGUGCAUCGAGCAAAUCCGCAAACAUUAUAAGAAGGAUGGUUUACCCUUCGAAUAUGUUUCUACUCUAAAUGGUAAGGAACAUGUAGAUGUUCAUUUAAUUAACGACCAAUUGGGGGGUAAAAUUAUCGGCAGACAAAGGAAAUCGUCCCUGGAUAUCCCAACAAAAGAAUGC